rnacentral:rRNA from 1 species
GACGAACGCUGGCGGCGUGCCUAAUACAUGCAAGUAGAACGCACAGUUUAUACCGUAGCUUGCUACACCAUAGACUGUGAGUUGCGAACGGGUGAGUAACGCGUAGGUAACCUGCCUGGUAGCGGGGGAUAACUAUUAGAAACGAUAGCUAAUACCGCAUAAUAUUAAUUAUUGCAUGAUAAUUAAUUGAAAGGUGCAAUUGCACCACUACCAGAUGGACCUGCGUUGUAUUAGCUAGUAGGUGAGGUAACGGCUCACCUAGGCGACGAUACAUAGCCGACCUGAGAGGGUGAUCGGCCACACUGGGACUGAGACACGGCCCAGACUCCUACGGGAGGCAGCAGUAGGGAAUCUUCGGCAAUGGACGAAAGUCUGACCGAGCAACGCCGCGUGAGUGAAGAAGGUUUUCGGAUCGUAAAGCUCUGUUGUAAGAGAAGAACGGGUGUGAGAGUGGAAAGUUCACACUGUGACGGUAGCUUACCAGAAAGAGACGGCUAACUACGUG